rnacentral:rRNA from 1 species
GUUUAGACCGUCGUGAGACAGGUUAGUUUUACCCUACUGACGACCAUAGAAGAAAUGUUAUUGCGAUAGUAAUCCUGCGAAGUACGAGAGGAACCGCAGGUUCGGACAGUUGGUUGGCGCACUUGGUCGAGCGGCCAGUGGUGCGAGGCUACGUCCGGAUGAUUAUACCUGAAGGCCUCUGAAGGUAGAAUCGAUGCUGGAGGAAGGCAAUGAUACGCAGCGUCUUUUGACUCGUUUCCGACGUUUUAUCUGGGUGGCUAUAACGAGACCCGUCUCGGUUAGAGAUUAAAACUCGCUCCAUCAGCGAGGGGGUUCCGGCCUUUUCGUUUCGUUUCGGACGAAUGCCUGGUCGGCGCUUCAUUCUCGAGCCGCGGUUUUCAGAGGGGAGGUUCGCUGACGGCUAUGCUGGGUAUCCGCCACGGGAAUGCCAGUCAUGCUCCGGUUCGCCUCUUUCUUUUUACCCGACUAAAG